rnacentral:rRNA from 1 species
AGCGAACGCUGGCGGCAGGCUUAACACAUGCAAGUCGAACGGGCGUAGCAAUACGUCAGUGGCAGACGGGUGAGUAACGCGUGGGAACGUACCUUUUGGUUCGGAACAACCCAGGGAAACUUGGGCUAAUACCGGAUAAGCCCUUACGGGGAAAGAUUUAUCGCCGAAAGAUCGGCCCGCGUCUGAUUAGCUAGUUGGUGUGGUAACGGCGCACCAAGGCGACGAUCAGUAGCUGGUCUGAGAGGAUGAUCAGCCACAUUGGGACUGAGACACGGCCCAAACUCCUACGGGAGGCAGCAGUGGGGAAUAUUGGACAAUGGGCGCAAGCCUGAUCCAGCCAUGCCGCGUGAGUGAUGAAGGCCCUAGGGUUGUAAAGCUCUUUUGUGCGGGAAGAUAAUGACGGUACCGCAAGAAUAAGCCCCGGCUAACUUCGUGCCAGCAGCCGCCGCCGUAAU